AACACAGUUCCACUUGGCCAUUUUUGCUUUUGUUGCCUGUGCUUUUUGGUGUCAUAUCCAAGAAAUUACUGCCAAGACCAAUGUCAUAGAGUUCUGAUCUAAGUGCUUUCCAAGAUUUGAAUUAGAUGUGGUGGCAGGAGGGAGGGAGAAAAAUGAACAGAUUCCCAAAUAAUUUCAGGGUAGAGGGGAGGAGACUGAGGAUUAGUGAGACAGGAGAGGGAAAGUUCCAAUCAGGGGUGACCUCAAGAUUUCUGGCUAUAACAAAGGAGAUGGAGGUCCCAUUGAAUGGGCUGUGAAGCACAUCAGGAGCAACAGGCUGGUGGUGGCCGAGAGGGGCAGGUUCAGAUCAAAUGUUCACUCUGCAAAUAUUCACAGAGCACCUUUUACACUUAAGGCCCUCCUCCAAGUGCUGGGAGGCAGCAACAAAUACAAACAAAAAUCUCUGCUCUCAUGGAGUUUACAUUCUAGUAGGCAAAAGAAGGGAAAUAUUUAGUAUGUAUAUGACAUCCAUACAUACGUAUAAAGUAGAUGGUACUGGUGGCAGUAGCAAGGGAGAAUCCUGAGGCAAGGGUAACAUGUGAAUAAAGAGCUACAGAAUGUAGUCUUGGGUUUGGUGUGGGAUACCGUAGCUUCAGACGCCUGGGAGACACACCAAGGAGCUGUCCGACUGGGUGUCCAUGUCAGGAGCACAGGAAUGAGGUACGAGUCUCCAGUCCACAGGGCGUGGCUGAGCGACAGUGGAUGGGAGAUCAGUUGUGCUUGGGUGGAGGAGGCAGCGGCUUAGGGAGAUGUCUGUGGAACCUCCACAUUCAGCCAAGAGCCAGCAAGGAUAGAAGAGCCACAGAGGUAGCGGGUAAGAGGCUGGCAAGACAGCAGCCAGGGGAAAUGUUUCUUGUAAGAACAGUGAAUGAAGCUCUGUUCCAGUAAGAGGAUGGGUGUCCAGGGUCCCCUGGAAUUACCAAUGAGGAUGCCACUGGUAGUCACGCCAAAAACAGUUCUGGUGGAACAAUGGGGGGCAAAGGUCUCACUGAGUUAGAAAUGAGUGGGAGGUGAGGGAAUAAAGGACAUUUCAUCCAAGAUGCCCCACUGCGGAAGGAAUAGGGACGCGGGCAGUACUGGAGGAGGAUGUGGGGAUCAAGGGAGGUGUGUUUUCUAGGAUCAACUAGACUUGAGCUAGUGUCAGUGCUAAGGGAGAAGUACUACGCGGCAGGAGAGACGGGUGUAUGGGAAAGAGGUGAUACUCUGCAUACGGUUCCUGAGAAGGCUGGAGGGCAUGGGUCCCACCACAAAACUGGCCUUAGCAGGACGGCUUCCACCUCAUGGGGGAAAAGGCAGGGGAGGAGGCAAGCACGGGCAGAUUUCUAGAUCUGGCAGGAGAAAGAGGAGGAAGUUCCCAUUAGCUUCUUUUUUCUCUGAGCAAGAGCUGAUCUGAUUGGCUGAGACAAAGACUAAAGGAAGGAGAAGCUGACAAGAGUGCAGGCCCAGCAGCCCUGUGGCAAGUGGAGGAUUGAGCUAAGGUGAAAAAGCUAGCAAGCAUCUAGGCAUGAUGCAGACAGAGUUGAAGUUGGAAGCUAGGAAUUUACAAUGGAACCAACCCAUCCAGAUGUGUAAUUUUAUUCUCAAGGAAACCAAAAUAUUUUGCCCCAAAAUAGACUUCUCUGACAUAUUUCAAGAUGGCUAUACAGAAGGGCUGGAAAUAAUAGCUGAAAAGCUAUCUUUGGUGGGGAGAUCUGCAUCUGCAGAGAAAAUCGGCAUUGAUGCAGCCAGGCUUUCUCCAAGGCCCUUCCCUUGUCCUGAUUAGGGAAGAUUAACUGCAGUCUGAUGCCGUUAAAGGUCUCAGUUCUCUCCGAGGGUGCUACCUGUGGGGUUUCCUCCACAUUAACAAGACCACCUUUGCUACACAGACCUCUUCUUCUCUUCUUCCCAUAACCUGUCUUGCCACGAGAACCCAAUUUACCAUGAAAGCCUGUUUUGGGCCAUGCCCUGAGCCCCCUUCUUUCUGUGACCUCAAGAUGGUAUGAAAGCAUCAACCAUAUUGCCUUUAAGAUCGUUGUAAGACGCUGUGCACAUCAAUACAUUUGUAUGCCAUUUCUCCUAUUAAUCUGUCUUUUACCAGCUACUUUUCAGUGAACCCCUUCAGAGGGCAAAGGAGAAGUUUUCCCUUGGCCCCUACAAUUCAGUAGCACUCAGCCAUCCAGGGGCAUGUUUGGAGAAGACAUAAAUUCAGUUCAUCCAGGGAUACCUUAGUAUUACUUAAUAUUCACUCACUAAGUAUUUGUGUUUAUAUCCUUCAAUUCACCCCUCUUUGAACAUACUUACAGGUUUUACAAAGUACAACUGUAUUCCAGAUGUGAGCACAAUCUUGCAUACAACAGGUGCUAAAUACAUACUUCUUGAUUUGACUAAUGACGCACCUGAUGUUUCAGUGGAGAUUCUAUCCUCCUGAAUUCAGAAGGUUGAUUCUCUAGCUGAUAGACAAUCAGGCCCCUCUCUGCAGUUGCCACCACAGCCAUGGGGUAUAUCUAGGGAAUGGAAGAAAACAGAGAUGCG
rnacentral:lncRNA from 1 species